GGACUCGUGAUGUAGUGGUAACAUACUUGCCUUCCAAGCAAGAUACCUGGGUUCGAUUCCCAGCGUGUUCA
rfam:Acanthocystis turfacea Chlorella virus 1, complete genome.